UACGGAGGGUGCGAGCGUUGUCCGGAAUCACUGGGCGUAAAGGGCGCGUAGGCGGCAUGCCAAGCGUGUGGUGAAAGCCCGGGGCUCAACCCCGGGUCGGCCGUGCGGACUGGCGUGCUCGAGCACUGUAGGGGCGGGUGGAAUUCCGGGUGUAGGGGUGGAAUGCGUAGAGAUCCGGAAGAACACCGGUGGCGAAGGCGGCCCGCUGGGCAGGAAGGCUCGCAAGAGCCGGCUGACGCUGAGGCGCGACAGCGUGGGGAGCAAACAGG
rnacentral:rRNA from 1 species